UUUCUUUGCCUGCGCUCCUGGGUUUGGCGGGGCUGUCGAGUCGGCCGGUAUAUCGGCGGUUGUGCUUUUGCAUAUGUAUACGAAGAUUGGAUGUGUGCCGAAUGCAGGAACAACCAAAGGGCCUUUCAUGAUACUGAAAUAAAUGACUGACUGACUGAUUGAUUGAUUGAUCUGAUUGAUUGAUUGAUUUAUUGAUUGAUUGAUUGAUUGAUUGAUUGAUUGAUUGAUUGAUUGAUUGAUUGAUUGAUUGAUUGAUUGAUUGAUUGAUUGAUUGAUUGAUUGAUUGAUUGAUUGAUUGAUCUUUUAUAUGCUAACCGAUAAUGUACAGGCAGUGCGCGCACCAGCCGCCAUGGGGGAAAGAAAAAAUACACUAGUAAAACAGCAGCACAUAUUGUCGGCUCACAGGUAUCUCCAAAACACACCCACCUGUUGAUGGAAAAGCGCAAUACGCUAAUCGGAUUCUUUGAGUCACUUGAUUUUUCUCGCACCUUAGCCAUUCAGCUUAGGGCCACUGGGUUGAUGCCCAUUCUCGGCCGGUACUCGAAAAUGCGUACGUGCCACUGUGACAAAAUAGGUACAGAAUGAAUGAAUGUGACUGCAUAUAUUUGCACUUCUGUCUGCGCACACCCGUAGUCGCCGUUGGUCUGUCGACUGGAAUCAUACAUUACUCUCGUCCACGUGACCUGACAGCAUAGACAUCAGGCAUUGCGCAUCCUCCUAGCUUCGUGGUUUCAUUUCGGCGUAUCUGGUGAGUGGUGCGGCGCAUAAACCUUUAAAAUUACAUGAUAAUAAGCGUAGUCUUUCGUGUUAAAUAAACUCAAACAAGGCGUCAGGUUGCAGGUUGUGCAGAAUGAAAGAAAAUAAAGUUAUAGGCAUUGCCAUUACAUGUUAAGCAUUUAAUUAGGCACUACACUAAAGCGUGACUUCACCAAAAGCUUACAAGCGCGUCGAAUAUGCAUAUUUGUAAUCGUCUUGAUUCCUUUCAAUAUUUGCAACACUUUGAUUUUUCUUUGUUUCAUGUUGAAUACUCAGCAUAGAGCGUCUUUAUACUUCACCGAGUAACUGGCAGGCACUGGAUUCGAAAGCUCGCCCCGAGAUUCUUAUAACGCUGCUCAGAGCAGACCUGACCUGUUGCCGGACCCCAUGCACCACAACUGAUCUAUGAAGCAAGACAGAGCUGAAAGAAUUUGAACAAAAGCCAUGGGCAAACCCACAACAGGUGGUGGUUCUCGGCUUCAGCACUUCGCGACUUGCAGAUUGGACACCCAGGGCGAGGUCAUAAUUGGCGAAAUUGCGGCCACUUCCGAGUCACGGCAGGAGUGAGGUCAACCCCGACCGGUAUCCUCCGAAGCUCAACCUCCUCUGC